CGGACGGGUGAGUAAUGUCUGGGAAACUGCCUGAUGGAGGGGGAUAACUACUGGAAACGGUAGCUAAUACCGCAUAACGUCGCAAGACCAAAGAGGGGACCUUCGGGCCUCUUGCCAUCGGAUGUGCCCAGAUGGGAUUAGCUUGUAGGUAAGGUAACGGCUUACCUAGGCGACGAUCCCUAGCUGGUCUGAGAGGAUGAUCAGCCACACUGGGACUGAGACACGGCCCAG
rnacentral:rRNA from 1 species